AGAGGGAUGCAACACGAGGAC
rnacentral:siRNA from 1 species